GGGUUUGAUCCUGGCUCAGAACGAACGUUGGCGGCGUGGAUUAGGCAUGCAAGUCGUACGAGAAAGCACCCUUCGGGGUGUGAGUAAAGUGGCGAACGGGUGAGUAACACGUGGGAAAUCUGCCCUCGAGUUGGGGAUAACAUUCCUAACGGGGUGCUAAUACCGAAUAACACGAUCGGGUCGUAUGGCUCGAUUGUCAAAGCUGGCCUCUACUUGUAAGCUAGCACUUGAGGAUGAUCCCGCGUCCCAUUAGCUUGUUGGUGGGGUAAUGGUUCACCAAGGCUACGAUGGGUAGCUGGUCUGAGAGGAUGGUCAGCCACACUGGGAUUGAGAUAUGGCCCAGACUCCUAUGGGAGGCAGCAGUCGAGAGGCUUCGGUAAUGGGGGUAAUCCUGACCGAGCGACGCCGCGUGGGCGAUGAAAGUCUUAUGAUCGUAAAGCCCUGUCAGUGGGGAAGAAAUGCCAUGGUGUUAAUACCACCAUGGUUUGACGUUACCCACAGAGGAAGCUCCGGUUAACUCCGUGUUAGUAGUUGUGGUAAUACGGGGGGAGCAAACGUUGUUCGGAAUUACUGGGCGUAAAGGGCGCGCAGGCGGCCCGGUCAGUGAAACGUGAAAUACCCUGGUUUAAUCAGGGAACUGCGUCUCAUACUGCCAGGCUUGAGGACGGAAGAGGAAAUGGGAAUUCCCGGUGUAGUGGUGAUAUGUAUUGAUAUCGGGAGGAAUAUUAGUGGUGAAGGUGUGUUUCUGGUCCGUUCCUGACGCUCAGGCGCGAAAGCUGGGGGAGUAAAUAGGAUUAGAUAUCCUGGUAGUCCCAGCCGUAAACGGUGAACACUAGGUGUGGGGGGUAUUGAUUUUUUCCGUGCCGUAGCUAACGCAUUAAGUGUUCCGCCUGGGGAGUAUGAUCGUAAGGUUGAAAUUUAAAGGAAUUGACGGGGGCCCGCACAAGCGGUGGAGCAUGUGGUUUAAUUUGAUGCAAUGUGAAGAAUUUUACCCAGGCUUGAUAUGUACUGGAUUGGUGUGGAAAUAUACCUUCCCUUUGGGGUCGGUACAUAGGUGUUGUAUGGCUGUCGUCAGCUCGUGUUGUGAGAUGUUGGGUUAAGUCCCGUAAUGAGCGCAACCUUUGCCCUUAGUUGCCAGUAUGUUAAGAUGGGCACUCUAAGGGGACUGCCGGCGAUGAGCCGGAGGAAGGUGGGGAUGACGUCAAGUCUUUAUGGUUUUUAUGUCUGGGGUUAUACACGUGCUACAAUGGCCGGUAUAGAGGGUUGCGAUGCCGUGAGGUGGAGUCAAUCCCAAAAAACCGGCCUUAGUUCGGAUUGCAGUCUGUAAUUUGACUGCAUGAAGUCGGAAUCGCUAGUAAUCGCUGAUUAGUAGGCAGCGGUGAAUAUGUUUUUGGGCCUUGUAUAUAUUGCUUGUCAAGCCACGAAAGUCGGCAGUACCUGAAGUUGUUGGUU
rnacentral:rRNA from 1 species